AUUGUUUGCAGGCUGUUCCCAGAAGGUCAGCAGCCUGUCCUCCACAUGGCAGAAUGCACUGUGGCCCAUAGAGAAUGCCCUCAGACCAUUGAGGUCUGAGCUUUGAUGCAGUACAAUGCUUCAAGAUGGCUGACUAGAGGUACUCGCCUACUCCACAAAGAAGAACUAAAAUAAGAGAUAUCUGAAAUUGUGAUAGUGAAUUAGCCAAGGUAAGACAGAGGUCCUGGAUGCAGAAAGGCUGUGAAACUUGCCCAUUGUGUUUAGGAAGACAAGGCCAAAAUGUAACCUGGACCACAAGAUUGUAUGUGAUGUCACCAUCCUGAAGACCUAUAACUCAGAGAUAUCCAUAUAUCUAUAUCUCCAGCUACAAUCCUCACACUAUCUCUCUGCCUCAAAGAUACGAUGGAUUGUGUCAGACCACUGCAAUAAAGGAAUGACUAAUUUUCAUGGUUGAUAGUCACCCAUUGCACCUCCUAUCAUCAUCUGUUCCACUUUCCCGAUGGGAGAACAGAAGAAAAGAAGUGAAAAAUCAAAGACAGCCUCGUGUGGACCAUCCAGUGACUUAACGCUCAUUGAUUAGGACUGCAUCAUGUGGGUGCACCAAAUUUCAAGAAAUUCUGAGAGAUGCUGUCAUAUCUGUGUGAGAACCACAGAAUUGCAGCAACCACUCUAGUAUCAGGAAGAGAAUUAAAGAGCCAUGCUCAAGAUGGCAAAGAGGAAAAAGGAGCAAUCAUUGUUCAAUAACCCAAUGAUAUUGCCAAUUCACUGAAUUAAUAAAACCUGGAGCCACACCUACUCCUUUUUUUUUCUUUUUCUUUUUUUUUAAAUUAUUACUAUCCUUUAAGUUUUAGGGUACAUGUGCACAAUGUGCAGGUUUGUUACAUAUGUAUACAUGUGCCAUGUUGGUGUGCUGCACCCAUUAACUCCUCAUUUAGCAUUAGGUAUAUCUCCUAAUGCUAUCCCUCCCGCCUCCCCCCACCCUACAACAGGCCCCGAUGUGUGAUGUUCCC
rnacentral:lncRNA from 10 species